AAGAAAAAUGACCAAAAAUAAUAUGCUCAUUUUUCAAGCUUCAGCAGAAGAAACACUUCCUAUAAAUCUCGCCCAAACAGGAAAGCAAACCUGAAAAUACACUAUCCUCCAGCUAUCAGAAUUAUAUUGAGAUCUACUCACAUUUAUGAUGAUGUUCAGAGAUUCAUCAUUGGGAAGGAAAAUGCACACGCUGCGGCGGUCUUGCAUGACUCUGUUGUGGAAAUUCAAUUUGUUCAUUGUGUUUUGGGCUCUCUGGGUGGUCAGGGCUGGGCUCUGGGUCCUUGGCAAUUCCUCAGGUUCCCAGCACUCCAAAGCCAAGCUCACCUCCUCAUCACACGCCCUGCAGGAGAAGCAUCAGGGUGUCCGACUACGUGGGUUUCAUAGCUGUGGAAAAGCCAAAGGGGAGACUCCUGAAGAAAGGCGGUGAAGACUGUGAAGAGCGGGUCAGGAAGAUGAGCACAGCACUGCUACUCCUGUGGGCACAGGGACAGCAUGUCUCCAGCCAGCGCCACCUUGUUUAAUACAUGGGAACUCACUGAAAUUCAUUCUGUAUUUUGCCCACAAAGUUUUAAAGCUUUCAUCCACAGUCAGGAAUUAAACUUAUACCAAUGAGAGCCUCACACAUUCAAGGAUGUACUAAGCACUACAGGCCUCACAGAAACAGAGAUCCCAUCUUGGAGUUUUCAGUCCCACAUGGGAGAUAAAGGGUUUUGAACAUGAAAUGACAAAAACAACAGCAAGAAGAAAAUUCUCGUCCUUUUUCAUUACUAUCAAACUCAAAUAAAUGUCUUGGCUCUUACAUUACAUUCAUUCUUCAACCAUUGUGGUCUGGCUUCCACUUCCUUCACUUCACCAACAUGGCUCUGCCAAAGGAAGCCUGUGAUCUCUAGGCCAUCACUUUAAUUGAUCUCUCUACAACAUUUAUCCUGGUCGUUAAGCCCUCCUUACAACAUUCUUCUCUCUUUGUUUUUAUGGCUCUGUCUCUCCUGCUUCUUUAACCUGAUAAUGCAUACUUGAUUUUUCCAUUUAUUAUUUCAUCAACCAAUUAAUACACAGAUAAAACAAGACUGUGUAUAUCAAACCAUGUUUGUAUAGAAAAAAUGGAUUUUGGAUGCCUCUCAUAUGUAAUUAGUUCUAUUAAACAUAUUAAUUGUAUUGUUUAAUUUAUC
rnacentral:lncRNA from 1 species